UCUGCUGCCUGUUGUGCACCGCCAGGUACUGCGGCUUGCACCAGGGGCUGGAUGUCUUCUGCCACAAAUACCAUCUGGCAGAGAUGAUCAAGAUGCUGCUCCAACAGGAGCCCAUGGACCAACUGUUCACCAAGGUGCGGCAUCUCGCCAUGGAUGCCAUAGCAGAAUUGAGCUCAGUGGAGACAGGGCUGGCAGGCCAGGAGGAAAGCCUCCUGGAAAUCUGCUGCAGAAGUGUCUUCUUCCUUCCUCCAAAGGAGGAGUUUUCGGGC